rfam:Triticum aestivum genome assembly, contig: Triticum_aestivum_CS42_TGACv1_scaffold_513348_6BS
AUAAUACUCCCUCCGUCCGGAAUUACUUGUCAUCAAAAUGGAUGUGUCUAGAACUAAAAUACAUCUAGAUACAUCCAUUUCAAUGAAAAGUAUUUUCGGACGGAGGGAGUAGUAG